rnacentral:rRNA from 1 species
CCUACGGGUGGCAGCAGUGAGGAAUAUUGGUCAAUGGGCGAGAGCCUGAACCAGCCAAGUCGCGUGAGGGAGUACUGCCCUAUGGGUUGUAAACCUCUUUUGUCGGGGAGCAAAAGCCGGACGGGUCCGGCUGUGAGAGUACCCGAAGAAAAAGCAUCGGCUAACUCCGUGCCAGCAGCCGCGGUAAGACGGAGGAUGCGAGCGUUAUCCGGAUUUAGUGGGUUUAAAGGGUGCGCAGGCGGAUUUUGAAGUAAGCGGUCAAAUAGUGGGGCUCAACCCCAUCCAGCCGUUGAAACUGGGGAUCUAGAGUGUGCGUGAGGUAUGCGGAAUGCGUGGUGUAGCGGUGAAAUGCAUAGCUAACACGCAGAACCCCGAUUGCGAAGGCAGCAUACCGGUGCACAACUGACGCUCAGGCACGAAAGCGUGGGUAUCGAACAGGAUUAGAUACCCGAGUAGUC